rnacentral:lncRNA from 1 species
CGGGACUAUGUUUUGGUCCAUGUAACUGAUUUAUAGGCGUCCCCCUUUAAAUGGACACCUCUGGACGGUGAAGUCUGAGGACGCUUACCUGGCUUGGCAGAGGAGACCGAUGCUGCCAUGACUGCGAGCAGCAUGAGAAGUCGAGAAAUCCUCCUCUGGGAGAAUCCAGUACGAACAAGUAGAUCUCUUCUGAGGAUAAUCGCUAUGUCCCUGAAGGAAUGUGUGUGUCCAGAGUGAUUGUCUCUGUGUCUGAGAGCGAAGUGACAAAGGUGCUUCUCCCCCUUCCUCCUUUAUA